GACGAACGCUGGCGGCGUGCUUAACACAUGCAAGUCGAACGGAAAGGCCCUGCUUUUGUGGGGUGCUCGAGUGGCGAACGGGUGAGUAACACGUGAGUAACCUGCCCUUGACUUUGGGAUAACGUCAGGAAACUUGGGCUAAUACCGGAUAGGAGCUCCUGCUGCAUGGUGGGGGUUGGAAAGUUUCGGCGGUUCGGGAUGGACUCGCGGCUUAUCAGCUUGUGGGUGGGGUAGUGGCUUACCAAGGCUUUGACGGGUAGCCGGCCUGAGAGGGUGAACGGCGACAUUGGGCCUGAGAGACGGACCAGACUCCUACGGGAGGCAGUAGUGGGGAAUAUUGUACAAUGGGCGGAAGUGUGAUGCAGCAACGCUGCGGGCGGGAUGACGGCCUGCGGGGUGUAAACCGCUUUCGCCUGUGACGAAGCGUGAGUGACGGUAAUGGGUAAAGAAGCACCGGCUAACUACGUG
rnacentral:rRNA from 1 species